UGGGGAAUAUUGGACAAUGGGCGCAAGCCUGAUCCAGCCAUGCCGCGUGAGUGAUGAAGGCCCUAGGGUUGUAAAGCUCUUUCACCGGUGAAGAUAAUGACGGUAACCGGAGAAGAAGCCCCGGCUAACUUCGUGCCAGCAGCCGCGGUAAUACGAAGGGGGCUAGCGUUGUUCGGAUUUACUGGGCGUAAAGCGCACGUAGGCGGACUUUUAAGUCAGGGGUGAAAUCCCGGGGCUCAACCCCGGAACUGCCUUUGAUACUGGAAGUCUUGAGUAUGGUAGGGGUGAGUAGGAUUCCGAGUGUAGAGGUGAAAUUCGUAAAUAUUCGGAGGAACACCAGUGGCGAAGGCGGCUCACUGGACCAUUACUGACGCUGAGGUGCGAAAACGUGGGGAGCAAACAGG
rnacentral:rRNA from 1 species